GGUGGCGCAUGCCUGUAAUCCCAGCUACUCAGGAGGCUGAGGCAGGAGAAUUGCUUGAACCUAGGAGAUGGAGGUUGCGGUGAGCAAUUGCACUCCAGCCUGGGCAACAAGAGCAAAACUCGGUCUCAAAAAAAAAGAGAGAGAGAGAGACCCUCUGAAAGAGUGUUCAGCCCCACACCAGUCCUGUGGGAGUAGACAGGAGGAGAAAGUGGAGGAGUGAGGCAGGAAGGCCAGGGCAGGUCUGUGCAGGCGGUGGGGUGAGGGAUGGGUAGGAGAAGAGGCUGGAGGCCUGAAUCCUGGCAGGAGUGGUGGGGAGAAAGAAGGGAUGACUAGGUGAGCUGGGGGAGAGAGGAGGAGGGCAGAAUGUUGGGGGGUUCCAGGGCUUCUGUCCCCAGUGCCUGGGAAGAUGGGCAUGGAGGCGCCCUACACUGAACUGGGGCAUGGGGCAUGGGUGGUGAGGCCGGCUUCAGGGUAGCAUGCCUUUGAGACAUCUGAGAGAGAGGUCCGCCCCCAAGGGAAGGAUCCAGACCUGUCCGCAAACAGAUGCUGGCAGCAGCUCAGGAAAACCAAGGGAUAGGUGGGAAGGCAAAGGGUCUGAAGGGAAUGCUGGGGAACAGGGGAAUUUGAGGGGUCAAAGUGAGCAAACCCCCGUCCAUAAGAGGAGAGACCCCAAAGAAUCCCACAGACAAGCCCUAAGCCCAGAGAAGGCAGUGUCACAGCGCAACACUUCACCUCGAGGGAACUGGUCUAAGGGUUCUGGAAUUCACUUAUCACUUCCCUGAUGGCUCCCAUGCCCCUCCCCUGUACUUAUCCAAAGGGUCCACGAAGGCCAAGUGGCUCACACCUGUAAUCCCAGCACUUUGGGAGGAUCGUUUGAGCCCAGGAGUUUGAGACCAGCCUGGGCAACAUAGUGAGACCCCAUCUCUACAAAAAAAUUUUUUUAAUUAGCUGAGUGUAGUAGUGCCUGUCUACAGCCACAGCUCCUCAGGAGGCUGAGGUGGGAGGAUCCCUUGAGGAGGCAGAGGUUACAAUGAGCUGAGAUCACACCACUGGACUCUACCCUGGGUGACAGAGCAAGACCCUGUCUCAAAAAAGAAAUAAGUAAGGAAAAAUGAAAGGGUUCACCCACCACUGGACAAUUAGCCCAUGGCCGCCUGUCGGGAGAAUACAGCCAACCUUAGGGAGGAGAUGGAGAGACAGGAACAGCAAUAAGCAGCAUCUGGCUGGCUGGGGUGGGGCCUGGAGAUGGGAGACCCGACUGGCUCACUCAACUUUCUCUUCACCACUCACAGGACCUGGGCCUUGAGGGGACCCUCCUUACUGACAUCCUCUACAGAGAUGUGGCCUUCCUCAACCUGGUCGACCCCAUCUCCCAUGACCUGCUUGUGAACCUGGCCACCACCCCUGCCUCCACCUGGGACUCCACAGCUGCUGGGCUGGGACCCGAACCCCAGGCCUGCUGCACCAGGUGACCCACCACCCACCUGGCUCAUUGCUACUGACUUGUGAUGCUCUCAAGCACAUGGUAGUGGGCCAUGAAGGUCGAGGAGGACUCACAGGCCCCCAGAGAUCCAGUGCAAAUGCUCAGCCUGAGAUUAAGGGGACAGAAGGAGAAUGGACUCAUAGGAGGCCAGGAGGCCAGCCCCGGCUAGAGGCUCAGGCUUCCCUCAGUGGGAGGAGCCCCAACACCCAUAGUGUGGACCCCACAAUAAAGAGUGACACCCGCCUCUGCUUUUCUGCAUCA
ensembl:lncRNA